AUCCAGCUGAUGAGUCCAAAAUAGGAUGAAACGCACGUCCUCGAU
rnacentral:hammerhead_ribozyme from 1 species